CGCAUCUGUGCAUGCAGCAUAUCAAUAAGCGGAGGAAAAGAGGGCUACUACCUACGCUUAGGAUGUUGAAGAUGUAGCACAUCAUACACGCAUGACACACUGCAUAUCAAUAAGCGGAGGAAAAGAAACUAACAAGGAUUCCCCUAGUAACGGCGAGUGAAGCGGGAAGAGCUCAAAUUUGAAAUCUUAAAGGGUUUCCCUUUACGAAUUGUAGUUUAAAGAAGUGUUUUCUGUUGAGGUUUUGGUAAAAGUUCUUUGGAAUAGGACAUCAUAGAGGGUGAGAAUCCCGUAUUUGACCUUUACUUUCAACUUUGUGAUACACUUUCAAAGAGUCGGAUUGUUUGGGAAUGCAGUCCAAAAUGGGUGGUAAAUUUCAUCUAAAGCUAAAUAUUGGCGAGAGACCGAUAGCGAACAAGUACCGUGAGGGAAAGAUGAAAAGAACUUUGAAAAGAGAGUUAAACAGUACGUGAAAUUGUCAAAAGGGAAGCGUUUGACACCAGUGUUGUUUUUCUGAAAAUCAAUUAAAGAACUGUUUAUGCUAAGUUGUUUAGACUUUAUCAGCUAACUGUUUAGUUUUGAGCUUUUCUUUAAUGCACUUUUCAGUUAACAAGUCAACAUCAAUUUCUUUUGCUGUAAAAAAGCUUGAGGAAGGUGGCUUGAGAUUCGUCUUAAGUGUUUAUAGCCUCUUGCCUAUGCAGUCGGAGAGAUUGAGGUCUGCAGCGUAGAUCCUUCGGGGCUAAAUGCAUUUGUGCUAAGUUAUAGCAUUUUAUAGACAACUUGUUGACUAUGAUUUGUCUUGUAGCUUACUCGCUUAUGUUAUUUUACCUACGCUUAGGAUGUUGAAGAUGUAGCACAUCAU
rnacentral:rRNA from 1 species